rnacentral:rRNA from 1 species
UUAAAUUGAAGAGUUUGAUCAUGGCUCAGAUUGAACGCUGGCGGCAGGCCUAACACAUGCAAGUCGAGCGGUAGCACAGAGAGCUUGCUCUCGGGUGACGAGCGGCGGACGGGUGAGUAAUGUCUGGGAAACUGCCUGAUGGAGGGGGAUAACUACUGGAAACGGUAGCUAAUACCGCAUAAUGUCGCAAGACCAAAGUGGGGGACCUUCGGGCCUCAUGCCAUCAGAUGUGCCCAGAUGGGAUUAGCUAGUAGGUGGGGUAACGGCUCACCUAGGCGACGAUCCCUAGCUGGUCUGAGAGGAUGACCAGCCACACUGGAACUGAGACACGGUCCAGACUCCUACGGGAGGCAGCAGUGGGGAAUAUUGCACAAUGGGCGCAAGCCUGAUGCAGCCAUGCCGCGUGUGUGAAGAAGGCCUUCGGGUUGUAAAGCACUUUCAGCGGGGAGGAAGGCGUUAAGGUUAAUAACCUUGGCGAUUGAC